rnacentral:miRNA from 1 species
GGAUGGGGGCUGAGGAUGGAACUGGGGGGGUCUCACUCUCCCUUAUUCCUGGGCCCUCA